rnacentral:rRNA from 1 species
UAAGACAGAGGUGCCAAGCGUUAGGCGGAAUCACUGGGCUUAAAGCGUGUGUAGGCGGAAUUGUAAGUACCUUGUGAAAUCCCACGGCUCAACCGUGGAACUGCUCGGUAUACUGCUUUUCUUGAGCCACUUAGGGGCUGUCGGAACAAACGGUGGAGCGGUGAAAUGCGUAGAUAUCGUUUGGAACGCCAA